rnacentral:misc_RNA from 1 species
GAAAUGCGAUAAGUAAUGUGAAUUGCAGAAUUCAGUGAAUCAUCGAAUCUUUGAACGCACCUUGCGCCUCUUGGUAUUCCGAGAGGCAUGCCUGUUUGAGUGUCAUGUAGACUCAACCCCCCGGGUUUUUAUUUGCCCGGGGUGCGUUGGAUUUGGGCCCUGCCGUCUUGCCGGCUGGCCUUAAAUGUGUUAGCGGAUGGCCGCACGGACGUUGUAAGCACUCGUCGCCGUGGUCCCGCUCAUAGACCCCAAUUUUACUUUGCACUCUGACCUCAAAUCAGGUAGGGCUACCCGCUGAACUUAA